UCCUCGUUCGCUUCCCGCCGCUGCCCGGCCAUUGGCUUCGUGCGGCGCCGCGCCGGCCCGCCCUGGUUCCCGAAAAUCUCCUUUGGGUAUCUGAAGUCCAUAUGGCUAUGUAUGAUGAAGACCUUUUGAAAAAUCCCUUUUAUUUGGCCAUUCAGAAGCGACGUCCUGAUCUCUGCAGCAAAGUUGCAGAACUCCAUGGUAUUGUAUUAGUUCCAUGCAAAGGAAGCCUUUCAAGCAACUGUCUUUCCAACUGCCAGUUUGAAUCUUAUGUACUGAAGCCACUAGAAGAAAAUUUUCAGACCUUAAAUGGAAAGGAGAUCUUCAUACAAGGAAAUCUUGUCAUCUUAGGAACUGGUUUUGACGAUCAUCUCUCGGUCCCUGUUCUUUUUGAGGAAACAUUUUACAAUGAAAAAGAAGAGAGCUUUAGUAUUUUGUGCAUAGCUCAUCCACUGGAAAAAACAGAAAGCUCAAGUGAAUCUACAGCUUCAUCAAAUCUUUAUUCUCUGAAAAAUAUUGAAGAUGUUAGAGAAUUCUUGGGAAGGCACUGUGAGAGAUUUGAUAAAUACAUAGGAUCUUUCUACCGAACAUUUAAAGAGCACGAACGGAAAAGCCUCCGCCAUUACAUAGAUUCUGUCAGUGCACUUUAUACCAAAUGUCUCCAGCAUCUUCUGAGAGAUUCACACUUGAAGAUGCUUGCGAAGCAGGAGGAGCAGAUGAAUCUGAUUAAACAAGCAGUUGAAAUGUAUGUCCACCAUGCUAUUUAUGAUCUAGUCUUUAAAUAUGUGGGGACUAUUGAGGCAAGUGAGGAUGCUGCUUUUAACAAAAUCACGAGAAGCCUUCAAGAGCUCCAGCAAAAAGACAUUGGAGUAAAACCCGAGUUUAGUUUUAAUAUACCACGUGCGAAGCGAGAACUGAGUCAGCUGAACAAAUGUACUUCCCCUCAACAGAAGUUACUCUGUCUACGAAAAGUGGUACAAAUUAUUAUGCAGUCUCCUAGCCAAAGAGUUAACAUGGAAACCAUGUGUGCAGAUGAUCUACUCUCUGUCUUGCUGUAUUUACUUGUAAAAACAGAAAUCCCAAACUGGAUGGCCAACUUGAGUUACAUCAAGAACUUCAGGCUCUGCAGUUCGGUGAAGGAUGAAUUGGGAUACUGUCUAACCUCAAUUGAGGCUGCAAUAGAAUACAUACGACAAGGCAACCUCUCUGACAGAUCAACAGAAUCUGACAGGCUGUAUGACAAGUUGCUUUUAAAACAAAGGAUGAACUUUUUAUCCCAGAUGUCUACUACUCCAACAGAUUGCUUAUUUAAGCAUAUUGCUUCAGGUAAUCAGGAGGAAGUGGAGCGAUUACUAAGUCAAGGUGACAGUGAUAAGGACACUGUACAAAAAAUGUGUCAUCCGCUCUGUUACUGUGACAAAUGUGAGAAGCUAGUUUCUGGGAAACUGAAUGAUCCUUCAAUUGUCACUGCAUUUUCCCGAGAUGACCGGGGAUAUACGCCACUCCAUAUAGCUGCUAUUUGUGGGCAAACAUCAUUAGUGGAUUUACUAAUAGCCAAAGGAGCCAUUGUCAAUGCUACAGAUUACCACGGUUCAACUCCACUUCACCUUGCCUGUCAGAAGGGAUAUCAAAACGUUACACUUCUCUUAUUGCACUAUAAGGCAAGUACUGAUGUUCAGGACAAUAAUGGGAAUACUCCACUUCAUUUAGCCUGCACUUAUGGUCAUGAGGAUUGCGUUAAAGCAUUAGUCUACUAUGAUGUGCAUUCCUGUAGACUAGAUAUUGGAAAUGAAAAGGGAGAUACUCCUCUCCAUAUAGCUGCUCGUUGGGGUUAUCAAGGGAUCAUAGAAGUGCUUUUGCAAAAUGGGGCAAAUCCAAAUACUCAAAACCGGAUGAAAGAGACUUCGCUGCAGUGUGCAUUAAAUUCCAAGAUUUUGUCACUGAUGGAAUUAAACUAUCUAACCUUUGAGCGGGGACAGAGUGCUUCUGAGUCACCACUUAGGUCUCCUCAGCACUCAACAGAAACUUUCAGCAGAGGAUCAUCUGUCUCUAGUUUGUCAUCAGCAUCAAUUGAUGUAAGGCAAGAUGAAGUGAAGAACAGUUAUAAAGAGGUGGAAAAACUCCUAAGAGCAGUUGCUGAUGGAGAUCUGGAAAUGGUACGUUAUCUCUUGGAAUGGACAGAAGAAGACUUAGAAGAUGAAGAUGAUGCAGUCAGUACAUUGAAACCAGAAUUCUGCCAUCCAUUAUGCCAGUGCUCGAAAUGUGGGCCAGCACAAAAGAAAUUUGCAAGGGUCCCUGCUAAUGGCCUUGGUGUAAAUGUAUCAAAUCAAGAUGGUUUUACACCAUUGCAUAUGGCUGCACUGCAUGGACACUCUGACCUUGUCUCUCUCUUGUUGAAACAUGGAGCCAGUAUCAGUGCCAAGAAUGCAGAACAUGCAGUGCCUCUUCAUUUAGCCUGCCAGAAAGGUCACUCCCAGGUGGUAGAAUGUCUAAUGAAUUAUAAUGCUAAACAAAAUAAAAAGGAUGCAUAUGGAAAUACUCCUUUAAUUUAUGCAUGCUUGAAUGGUCACUAUGAGACUACUGCCUUGUUGUUACAGCAUGGAGCUUCUGUUAACCUUUCUAAUGCCAAAGGAAAUACAGCACUGCAUGAGGCUGUGAUAGGGAAGAAUGAAGCCCUGGUAGACUUGUUGCUUCAGAAUGGUGCGAUGACACAUAUACAGAAUGAAAGGAACUGUACCCCUGCAGACUGUGCUGAGCCGAAUUCAAAUAUCAUUAAGUUGCUGGAAACAGCAGCAAGCUGUGUACCUGCAUCAGCAGAGGAAGAAAAGGAAUGUGAGCAGCAUGCUGCUAUCAAGAUAAGAAGAAAAGUGAAUGAGCCAUGUGAGAAAGCUGAUGAUCCCAUGAACAGACAUCAACUCGUCCAAUCAAUUAACAGAUUUAACAAAGCAAAACAUUUACGGAGAACAAUAACAAGAGAUAAAAGCGUCCCCAAUUUUGACUAUCAGUUCUUGCACCAGUUAGCUAUAAAAAGCUUUGAUAAAACCAAGUUAAAAUCUGUUGAAACACUGGACCAGAACAAAGCUAAGAUUACUGACGCAGAAUGCAGUGGCGAAUUUAUGAAACAUGAUGACAUGAUAGAAACUCCUUGUAGGAGUAAAUUAAUGCACCGGAGACACACUGUUAAUGUUCCGCUUUCAGCAGAGAGUGUCAGUGGUAAUAGUUUAUCCAGCCCUGGAAGUCCAAGUAUUUCACAAUCGAGAGACUGCUGUGAUGACUUGCUUUCCAAACAUUGAUGAAGAAGCACAGAUGUGAUGUCAAAAGCUUUGGAACCAGGUGGUGUGGAUUUCAGUAUCCCUUUGCUGCAUAUCAAAGAACUCGGUGACGCUUGCAAGCUAUGCCUUCAGAAGAGAAUACAGGGAUAACUCUUCAGCAGAAACAGAAUGUUCCUAGAACUUUUGAAGACUGAAUCUGUCUUGGAGGUAACUACAGAGCCAGAGCGUUGCUGAUCUUAACAAACAGGGAAGUACUGACGUAUGUAGGCAGUAAAGUUACCUUCAUGUUCUACGUAGCACUUACUAAAAAAUCAUAUAUAACAGUAAACCAGACCAAACCCUGUAUUGUAUUUUUUCAGCCAUCCACUUUGUUUUUAAAGUCUUUGAAUAAUUUUCGCGUUUUUGGUUUUUACCACUACAAUGGAUAAAUAUAUACAAAUAUAUAUAUAUUUAUAUAUACAUAAAGAUAUAUUGGAUAACAAGCUAUUUAUUGACAGAGGUAAUUGAAAUGUCUAUUUUUAUUCGAAUAUUACAAACUGUUAUAGCAUAAAUUUUUCUGUGUAUUUCAGUAGCUGAGAAAACAGUAGUGCAUCUGUGACACCAUGUUAGACAUAUACAUGCUAAUAAUAUGAAGGGAACUAAUCUUUGCUAAUUUCUUAGUAUCUGUAUCUACAACAUCAAUUUCUUUUUAGGAGCCAAGACAGUGGGGAGAAGUAGAGAGCCUCUGCAAAGCUAAAGUGUAAACUCAGUGUUCAGCCUGAUUAAAAAAUACGCAGAAGCAAGAGUGCGUAAGGACACACAAAAUUGUUUUAAGGUUUGUUUUUUUUCUUCCUCCAAAGCUAGCCAUUCAAAAAAUGCACGAAUAUUCGUGAUUCUGAACCUGGGCGACAUCUGCAGGCAAAACCACUGCUUGAGAGCCUGAACCCAGACUGUUAUUUAAAGAAGUGAACUUCCAUGAACUUCCAUUUCUGAAAGUUGUCCUGUUGAACCCAAACCUACUUAAGUGACGAAACCAUGCUUCACUUUUACUUCAGCAUUCAGUCUAGGAUAAAGCUUACUUCCAGGCAUUUUGGAUUUUUAUGUAUCAAAGCACUUAAAUCCUGACCACUUCCAAAUAACAUCUAACAAAUGAUUUAGGUAAGUGAAAGAUUUCUCUGAUGUGCUUGACCAAGCUUAUCAUUAAAGAAAUAUACUAAUUUUCUAAGACAUGAUGAUUGAAGUCUAAACUCGGAUAAGAUUUGAAGGGAGUACUCCUAGAAAUUCUCCCCAGGUCUAUAGAAAGCCAUGCUGAAGGCAUGCUUUUUGCACAGGAAUAACACGCUUACUAGUGCUCACUUUAAACAGUUUUAUUCUGUUCCAAAAACCACUGCAGUUAGGAUCAUACAUGUUUAUGUUAAAUUAUGUCAGAAGAGGGCUUUGUGGUUGUAGACUGUUUAUCAGCACAAUGUAUUUGAAUAAAUGUACAGCACAAGUUUUACUUUAUGCAUGCAGGAGUUGCAGAAAUUUAGGAAAACUGAUUGUUUUUUUUAAGAAACUCUCCAGCUAUUUGAUAAAAAUGGAGGUAGCUUUAAGAAUGUACGAUGCCAAAUGUCUGAACAGUGCUGGAUUACAAUUACACAGUUAAUUUCAACUUUUUUUUUUGAGACAGCCUGAUUGUUUUGUAGGAGAACACUUCAAUUGUAUGAUGGUAACAGUUUCUUUAUAAUAGAGACUGCCCCCAGUCCAAACACAAAUAAUGGCUACUUUGAUGCUUUAAUUUGAAUUUACAAAUUUUGAGUAAACAGCUGAGAGUCUCUGUGAGCUGCUGAGAGGCUUUCCUUCAGGGGCUCAGGAAACCUUGCUUCUAACACUUUUGUGACUUAGACUGUGGAGGUAAGUCCUUUAAACUCCUGCAGGGAGUGGCUGUUCCCAGCUUUACACUGAAGUUCUCCUGUUACCGUAUCUCCAAUAGCAGCAGGUUAAGGGUGUACAGGUGCUGAAAGCAUAGCUUACACACUGAGUAAGGGGCAACAAUUUUCAUGCUACUCAAGCAGUGGAGAGCUCCACACUGCUCAGGCCACUUAUACUACAAAAAUUUAAGUUAUAAAAUCCCCUUCUCAGGUGUGUUUUACAAGACAAGUUCAUUUGUUGGCCUUUAUACAUAUUUAUAUAUAUUUUAAAAAGAAGUAAAGAAACGUAAACAUUUUCAGACUUUGCAUUCUGCCUGAUAACUGUUGCCUUUGUCCAACCAUUUAUUUGGCAGGCUUACAGUAGUAUUUAAUAAUCAUCCUCUUCAUCUGAAUCCAGUACUUUCCUUCUGUUGAACUAAAAUGAAAUACAAGGUCACAGUUAAUCCAACACAGAAAAAGCCUUUCCAACUCCACCCAUCUGACAAUCUAUUACUGGGAAGCAGACGUUUCACCCCAUCGCAACCUUCCAGUCCCCACCUGGCAAAAUGGGAGAGAGCAAAAGCACAGGUCUGUCUCAACACAACACUGCUAUCCCAGUGAUAACAGCUGCAAAUUAGACUAUUCCUAAGGAUGUAACCCAAUGCUUAUUUAUUAGUGUGGGUGAGAGAAGUGAUGGUAAAUACAAAGGAAAGUUCUGUGCUGAACUGAAAUAGUGCACUACAUGCAGCUUUCCUGCUUGAGCUUGUAACUAUAUUAUAUUACAUACAUAUAUAAUC